rfam:Canis lupus familiaris chromosome X, whole genome shotgun sequence.
AGGAGCAACAGUCCCAGUGGCGGGGCCAGCUCUGGAAACCUGGAUUCAGCUCCGGCAGGAACUCCAGAGCUCUCCGUCUGCAGGGCCUGGAGGCUCCGGGGUGGG